GAUGAACGCUGGCGGCGUGCCUAACACAUGCAAGUCGAGCGAAGCGCCUUACUUGAUUUCUUCGGGAUGAAAGUAUUGUGACUGAGCGGCGACGGGUGAAGGUACGCGUGGAUAACCUGCCUCAUACAGGGGGAUAACAGUUAGAAAUGACUGCUAAUACCGCAUAAGACCACAGCACCGCAUGGUGCAGGGGUAAAAACUCCGGUGGUAUGAGAUGGAUCCGCGUCUGAUUAGCUGGUUGGUGAGGUAACGGCCCACCAAGGCAACGAUCGGUAGCCGGACUGAGAGGUUGAACGGCCACAUUGGGACUGAGACACGGCCCAG
rnacentral:rRNA from 1 species